GAUGAACGCUGGCGGCGUGCCUAACACAUGCAAGUCGAACGGAGCUGCUUUGAUGAAGUUUUCGGAUGGAUUUAAAACAGCUUAGUGGCGGACGGGUGAGUAACGCGUGGGUAACCUGCCUCACACUGGGGGAUAACAGUUAGAAAUAGCUGCUAAUACCGCAUAAGCGCACGGUUCCGCAUGGAACGGUGUGAAAAACUCCGGUGGUGUGAGAUGGACCCGCGUCUGAUUAGCCAGUUGGCGGGGUAACGGCCCACCAAAGCGACGAUCAGUAGCCGGCCUGAGAGGGUGAACGGCCACAUUGGGACUGAGACACGGCCCAAACUCCUACGGGAGGCAGCAGUGGGGAAUAUUGCACAAUGGGGGAAACCCUGAUGCAGCGACGCCGCGUGAGUGAAGAAGUAUUUCGGUAUGUAAAGCUCUAUCAGCAGGGAAGAAAGUGACGGUACCUGAAUAAGAAGCCCCGGCUAACUACGUGCCAGCCGCCGCAGUAA
rnacentral:rRNA from 1 species